UACGUAGGUGGCAAGCGUUGUCCGGAUUUAUUGGGUUUAAAGGGUGCGUAGGCGGCCUAUUAAGUCAGUUCUGAAAUAUCCCGGCUUAACCGGGAGGGUGGGAUUGAUACUAAUGGGCUUGAGUGGACUCGAGGUAGGCGGAAUUGACGGUGUAGCGGUGAAAUGCUUAGAUAUCGUCAAGAACACCGAUAGUGUAGACAGCUUGCUAGAUUCUAACUGACGCUGAGGUACGAAAGUGUGGGGAUCAAACAGG
rnacentral:misc_RNA from 1 species